GGACCAUCAUGUCGGUCGUGCCUCGGUACGUACUGGCAUUGUUGGUUUCUCUCUUCUGACGAACCAUGAUGUCAUUUAUUUGGUGUUGUGGGGAAUCAGGACUGUUACUUUGAAAAAAUUAGAGUGUUUAAAGCAGGCUCACGCUUGAAUACAUUAGCAUGGAAUAAUGAAAUAGGACGUUUGAUUCUAUUUUGUUGGUUUCUAGGUAUAGAGUA
rnacentral:rRNA from 1 species